rnacentral:ncRNA from 1 species
AUAAAGACUAUGAAGAGGACGAGUAAGCUAAAGACUUUCUUAACAGAGAAUGGAGAUUAUCAGCUGGAAGUCUCCUAAGAAUAUUUAGCCGAAAACCACCUCUGAGUUGACACCUGAACCUUACAAUAAGUAUUAGGGUGCUCCGGUAAAAUCCGUUAUCUUGAAAUGAGUGAAAUUUAUCUUAUCUCUACUUUGUCAUGGGAUGAUAUAAAUUUAAUUAGAGUGGAACCACGAAUCCUACGUCUCUAAA